rnacentral:rRNA from 1 species
AGUGAACGCUGGCGGUAGGCCUAACACAUGCAAGUCGAACGGCAGCACAGUAAGAGCUUGCUCUUACGGGUGGCGAGUGGCGGACGGGUGAGGAAUACAUCGGAAUCUACUUUUUCGUGGGGGAUAACGUAGGGAAACUUACGCUAAUACCGCAUACGACCUACGGGUGAAAGCAGGGGAUCUUCGGACCUUGCGCGAUUGAAUGAGCCGAUGUCGGAUUAGCUAGUUGGCGGGGUAAAGGCCCACCAAGGCGACGAUCCGUAGCUGGUCUGAGAGGAUGAUCAGCCACACUGGAACUGAGACACGGUCCAGACUCCUACGGGAGGCGGCAGUGGGGAAUAUUGGACAAUGGGGGAAAGCCUGAUCCAGCAAUACCGCGUGGGUGAAGAAGGACUUCGGGUUGUAAAGCCCUGUUGUUGGGAAAGAAAAGCAGCAGGUUAAUACCCCGCUGUUCUGACGGUACCCAAAGAAUAAGCACCGGCUAACUUCGUG